GUGGAGGGGACGGUCGUCAUGGAAACGGGGGGGGGGAAGAGAGAGCGCCUCUGCCUCAAAGCCACGCCGCAGCGCGGGUCACGUGGCCUUCCCCUCCCCCGCUUCCUGGUGCAGCCACCGCGCCUCUGUCACGUGACGGGCGCCCCUCGCCGCGGCGUGUAGGGCCCCGCCGGCCUCCCGGGGGGCUGGGGUCUCCCCGCGUCCACGACCCCGGUCCCUGUGCGCUGAGCUCCCCCGGGCAGGACCGGGGUCUGGCCGGGGACAAGCGUUUCGGUUGCUGAGGGCGGCUGGCGGUGUAAAAUGGCGGCGCGAUAAACGCCGGGCCCGAAUUCCGGAAUUUCUGUGUUGCAUCAAGUCACACAGAACUAGAAAUAAUGGUGCCCCUUAUCCUUAAACUCCUGGAGCGUGACAGAAGCAGCAGAGAUCCCAGUUACGACUAAGAACAAUGACUGGCAGCAAGUAAACAUCAGUGAUAAUGUUAACUCUAACAGUCUAUGGCCAUAACUUGUAGAUAUUUAAUCCAAAUGCACAUACUGCUUUAAUAAAAGAGCUUUUGUGCAUAUAAGCAAAUCCAUAUCAGUAUUACCAAAAUUAA